UUAACAAAAACAUGUCCUUUAGAUUAUAAUUUAAGGUCUGAUCUGCCCACUGAGGAAUUAAAUGGCCGCGGUAUAUUGACCGUGCAAAGGUAGCAUAAUAAUUAGUUUUUUAAUUGAAAGCUGGAAUGAAUGAUUUGAUGAGAAAAUAGCUGUCUCAAUUUAAUUAAAUUAGAAUUUUACUUUUAAGUUAAAAGGCUUAAAUUUAGGUUGAAGACGAGAAGACCCUAUAGAGUUUUAUAUUAACUUCUAUUAAUUAUUUUUUGGUUUAAUUUUAUUUAAUAGGGAAAAGUAUUUUGUUGGGGUGACAGGAAAAUUUAUUAAACUUUUCUUUUUUAAAAACAUUAGUUUAUGAUUUAAUGAUCCAUUAAUAGUGAUUAUAAGAUUAAAUUACCUUAGGGAUAACAGCGUAAUCUUUUUUGAGAGUUCUAAUCGAAAAAUUGGAUUGCGACCUCGAUGUUGGAUUAAAGUUAAUUUUAGGUGCAGAAGCUUAAAAAUUAGGUCUGUUCGACCUUUAAAACUUUACAUGAUCUGAGUU
rnacentral:rRNA from 1 species